rnacentral:rRNA from 1 species
UCCUACGGGAGGCAGCAGUGGGGAAUAUUGGACAAUGGGCGAAAGCCUGAUCCAGCGACGCCGCGUGUCGGAAGGAGUCCUUCGGGAUGUAAACGACUUUUGGUGGAGACGAAUAAGCAGCUCAGGGAAUGGGGCUGUGAUGACGGUAUCCAUGGAAUAAGCCCCGGCUAACUACGUGCCAGCAGCCGCGGUAAGACGUAGGGGGCAAGCGUUACCCGGAAUUACUGGGCGUAAAGGGAGCGUAGGCGGGAGGUCAAGUCCGGUGUGAAAGACCCUGGCUCAACCAGGGAUGAGGGCUGGAAACUGACAAUCUUGAGUACAGCAGAGGAAGAGGGAAUUACCGGUGUAGGGGUGAAAUCCGUAGAGACCGGUAAGAAGGCCAGUGGCGAAGGCGCUUUUCUGGGCUGUUACUGACGCUGAGGCUCGAAAGCCAGGGGAGCAAACCGGAUUAGAUACCCGGGUAGUCCUGGCCGUAAACGAUGCUCACUAGGUGUGGGGCGCAUAGCGUGCUCUGCGCUGAAGCAAACGCAAUAAGUGAGCCGCCUGGGGAGUACGUCCGCAAGGAUGAAACUCAAAGGAAUUGACGGGGGCCCGCACAAGCGGUGGAGCGUGUGGUUUAAUUCGACGUUAAGCGAAGAACCUUACCAGGUCUUGACAUAUCCGUGGUAGUGAACUGAAAGGGGAACGACGAGGGCGAAUGCUCUUGAGCGGAUACAGGUGGUGCAUGGUCGUCGUCAGCUCGUGCCGUGAGGUGUUGGGUUAAGUCCCGCAACGAGCGCAACCCCUGUGGUUAGUUGCCAACACGAAGGUGGGCACUCUAGCCAGACUGCCGCCGACGAGGCGGAGGAAGGAGGGGAUGACGUCAGAUCAUCAUGCCCUUUAUGAUCUGGGCUACACACGCGCUACAAUGGGGUGAGCAGAAGGGGACGAGGCUGCGAAGCCAAGGGAAUCCGGAAAACGCCCCUCAGUUCAGAUUGCAGGCUGCAACCCGCCUGCAUGAAGAUGGAAUCGCUAGUAAUCGCAGAUCAGCAUGCUGCGGUGAAUACGUUCCCGGGCCUUGUACACACCGCCCGUCACACCACCCGAGUUGGGAAUACCUGAAGGUGGCGGAAGCCAACCGGCAACGGAGGCAGCCAGCGAAGGUAGGCUUAGUGAGGGGGGUGAAGUCGUAACAAGGCAGGUGUACCGGAAGGUGCGCCUG